rnacentral:misc_RNA from 1 species
AAGUCGUAACAAUUAACACGUAUCCAAACGUUAACCCCCCUGUGAACCUUUAGUGUGCUCGUACGCUUUGUCAGAGCGUGGCAAUCCCUAGUAAAUCAUCGCCGAAUGUGCUCGCAGCGCGAGGCAUUUCGAAGCAGUUGGUGUCUGAAAGUGUCACGAUCGUUGGAGGCCGACACGGCCGAUGACCGGGUCACCGGGCUCACGCCCCUUAAUUACAACUUAAUGCAUGUCAGACGCGCCUCCGCUUAAUUGUGCGGCGACCAUAAAACUCGAACAACUGUUAACAAUGGAUAUCUUGGUUCUC